GCGGCCGCGCGGCCCCGCCCGUCGGCCUCGCUCCCGCCACAGAGCCCGCAGCACGCCGCCGCCGCAGCCUAGGUCACAGAUCUGUGAAAAUCUUUAAAGGCAUGUGUUUUGCCAUAUAUGCAAGUGAAUCAACUUGCCAGAUAAAAGUUUGCUGCCUAAAUAUGAUUACUAGGAAAGCCAAGUCUCUCUUCCUGGAUUUCUUCUCCUAUAAACCGCCUAUUGAUACCUACCCACUUCUCUAUGGAGCACAGAUGAAGGAUAUUGGUCAUCUCCAGCAUCUAGCACAACGUCUGCAAUGGAACAGGCGAGCUGUGAAUAUUUGUGGAAUGCAUGGGUGGACUAAAGACCUAUCACCUCACUCUAGAAUGCCCAGCAUGUUGGAGCAUGUUAAGCACUAUAUGAGCUGCUGAGGAUACAGGAAUAAACAACAACACAGGUGUGUCCUCUGCCCAAACCAGGCAUAAAUGAGCUUCCAAAUGAACACAAACAAAUCUGGAAGGCUUUUGAGGAAGAAGGACCAUUAAAAAAGCUGCUGACGACUGCCUGGAAUCUGGUUUGGAGCAUCUCCAAAGCCAACGUACUUUCCCCCAAGAAAAUACAGGAAGAUCUCUCUGCCCAGGCUUGGAAAUACAUAAGGAUCAGGUUUGCCAUCCUCUACUUUAGGGUGACUUUAACAUAAUUUAAUGCCCACUGACUGCUUUUCUCCUACAGGUAAAGUAACAAACAAAGGAGUCAACUCUCAGGAGCUCUCUCUUUCAUCUGCUUUAUGUUGCCAUU
rnacentral:lncRNA from 1 species